rnacentral:rRNA from 1 species
UACCCGCGCCCCAAGUGGUGGUCGAUAUUAUUGAGCCUAAAACGUCCGUAGCCGGUCUUCUAAAUCCUUGGGUAAAUCGGGCAGCUUAACUGUCCGAAGUCCGGGGAGACUGGGAGACUUGGGACCGGGAGAGGUCAGAGGUACUUCUGGGGUAGGGGUAAAAUCCUGUAAUCCUGGAAGGACCACCGGUGGCGAAGGCGUCUGACUAGAACGGAUCCGACGGUGAGGGACGAAGCCCUGGGGCGCAAACGGGAUUAGAAACCCUAGUAGUCC